GUGGGGAAUAUUGGGCAAUGGGCGAAAGCCUGACCCAGCAACGCCGCGUGAAGGAAGAAGGCCUUCGGGUUGUAAACUUCUUUUACCAGGGACGAAGGACGUGACGGUACCUGGAGAAAAAGCAACGGCUAACUACGUGCCAGCAGCCGCGGUAAUACGUAGGUUGCAAGCGUUGUCCGGAUUUACUGGGUGUAAAGGGCGUGUAGGCGGAGAUGCAAGUUGGGAGUGAAAUGCAGGGGCUCAACCCCUGAACUGCUCUCAAAACUGUAUCCCUUGAGUAUCGGAGAGGCAAGCGGAAUUCCUAGUGUAGCGGUGAAAUGCGUAGAUAUUAGGAGGAACACCAGUGGCGAAGGCGGCUUGCUGGACGACAACUGACGCUGAGGCGCGAAAGCGUGGGGAGCAAACAGGAUUAGAAACCCCAGUAGUCC
rnacentral:rRNA from 1 species